GGGGAGGAUAGAGGGAUGAGAGGAGAGGAUAGAGGGAUGAGAGGAGAGGAUAGAGGGAUGAGAGGGGAGGAUAGAGGGAUGAGCGGGGAGGAUAGAGGGAUGAGAGGGGAGGAUAGAGGGAUGAGAGGGGAGGAUAGAGGGAUGAGAGGAGAGGAUAGAGGGAUGAGAUUGGAGAAUAGAGGGAUGAGAGGGGAGGAUAGAGGGAUGAGAGGAGAGGAUAGAGGGAUGAGAGGAGAGGAUAGAGGGAUGAGAGGAGAGGAUAGAGGGAUGAGAGGAGAGUAUUGAGGGAUGAGAGGAGAGGAUAGAGGGAUGAGAAGAGAGGAUAGAGGGAUGAGAGGGGAGGAUAGAGGGAUGAGAAGAAAGGAUAGAGGGAUGAGAGGAGAGGAGAGGAUAGAGGGAUGAGAGGGGAGGAUAGAGGGAUGAGAGGGGAGGAUAGAGGGAUGAGAGGGGAGGAUAGAGGGAUGAGGGAAGAGGAUAGAGGGAUGAGAGGAGAGGA
rnacentral:lncRNA from 1 species